rnacentral:tRNA from 1 species
GCUCGGAUUGGGGCCCGUAGGCUCGCGCCAAACGGCUGAUAUUCGUUUGAUAUCAGCCGGUUCGCGCCAGCGUCCGGGCU